rnacentral:rRNA from 1 species
GUGGGGAAUAUUGGACAAUGGGCGCAAGCCUGAUCCAGCAAUGCCGCGUGCAGGAAGAAGGCCUUCGGGUUGUAAACUGCUUUUGUACAGAACGAAACGGUCCGGGUUAAUACCCUGGGCUAAUGACAGUACCGUAAGAAUAAGCACCGGCUAACUACGUGCCAGCAGCCGCGGUAAUACGUAGGGUGCAAGCGUUAAUCGGAAUUACUGGGCGUAAAGCGUGCGCAGGCGGUUUUGUAAGACAGGCGUGAAAUCCCCGGGCUCAACCUGGGAAUUGCGCUUGUGACUGCAAGGCUGGAGUGCGGCAGAGGGGGAUGGAAUUCCGCGUGUAGCAGUGAAAUGCGUAGAUAUGCGGAGGAACACCGAUGGCGAAGGCAAUCCCCUGGGCCUGCACUGACGCUCAUGCACGAAAGCGUGGGGAGCAAACAGGAUUAGAAACCCUGGUAGUCC